UCAAACUUGGUCAUUUAGAGGAAGUAAAAGUCGUAACAAGGUCUCCGUUGGUGAACCAGCGGAGGGAUCAUUAUAGAGUGUAAACUCCCAAACCUUUGUGAACAUACCACUGUUGCUUCGGCGGCGUUCUGGGUGUCCUCGCCGGCAUCCAGGGUCUAAACGCCGUCGAGGGUGCCAAACUCUGACUUACUAUCGUCUUCUGAGUACAAAACAUAAAUGAAUCAAAACUUUCAGCAACGGAUCUCUUGGCUCUGGCAUCGAUGAAGAACGCAGC
rnacentral:misc_RNA from 1 species